AUGAACGCUGGCGGCGUGCCUAAUACCUGCAAGUCGAGCGAACGGACGAGAAGCUUGCUUUUCUGAUGUUAGCGGCGGACGGGUGAGUAACACGUGGAUAACCUACCUAUAAGACUGGGAUAACUUCGGGAAACCGGAGCUAAUACCGGAUAAUAUUUUGAACCGCAUGGUUCAAAAGUGAAAGACGGUCUUGCUGUCACUUAUAGAUGGAUCCGCGCUGCAUUAGCUAGUUGGUAAGGUAACGGCUUACCAAGGCAACGAUGCAUAGCCGACCUGAGAGGGUGAUCGGCCACACUGGAACUGAGACACGGUCCAGACUCCUACGGGAGGCAGCAGUAGGGAAUCUUCCGCAAUGGGCGAAAGCCUGACGGAGCAACGCCGCGUGAGUGAUGAAGGUCUUCGGAUCGUAAAACUCUGUUAUUAGGGAAGAACAUAUGUGUGAGUAACUGUGCACAUCUUGACGGUACCUAAUCAGAAAGCCACGGCUAACUACGUG
rnacentral:rRNA from 1 species